UACGUAGGGUGCAAGCGUUAAUCGGAAUUACUGGGCGUAAAGCGCGCGUAGGCGGACCUGCAAGUCGGGGGUGAAAGCCCGAGGCUCAACCUCGGAACUGCCUUCGAUACUGCGGGUCUCGAGUCCGGGAGAGGUGAGUGGAGUUCCUAGUGUAGAGGUGAAAUUCGUAGAUAUUAGGAAGAACACCAGUGGCGAAGGCGGCUCACUGGCCCGGUACUGACGCUGAGGCGCGAAAGCGUGGGGAGCAAACAGG
rnacentral:rRNA from 1 species